rnacentral:lncRNA from 1 species
CUUGGUGUCGGAAUAAUGUUGGUAUUUAUCAAAGAAAUAAAUCCCAACUGCAGCAGCUACUGCUGGUGCUGUCAUGUAAAGGGUGCCCAGAGCCAUUAAUCUCUUAGAGCAGAAGAAGCAGAGGUUUUUAUUCUUCCCUUUGUAGGCAAAGAGAAAAUGUCUUGUUUGUAGCUCUUCUAUCUGCUGAAAAUCUUCAGAGAUAUAGGAAGGAAAAGGAGAUGAUCAGUAAAGCAAAGCAAAGGAAUAUGAGAUAUCUUGGUGGUAAAGACAAGUAAAGAAUGGAGUAUAAAAAAUAAUAAGAGAAAAUGUGGAAGACCUGACCUCAUGUCAAAGGCACAAAUUAAUGGAAUUUUUGUGGGCCCUAGAAUUUUCCAUUAAAAACAUGCGACAAAAUUUGUGUGAUUCAGGAAACACAGAACCAAAUUAUUAUCUAUAUUUCCUCAAGUUGAUGGCAAAUAGGAGUGCACCUCCAUCUCCAUGAUAUUACCAUCUGUCCAAGUUGUUUAAUAUGUAUGUUUAAGAAGUUGGUUGGAAAAAAAUUAAUCUUAAGAUAUCUGAUUAAGUCAAUGCUUAAUGCAUGAUUUUUUCAUCACGGGUGAACAUAUUAUUUGCAUUCAUCAUAUAUUAGGGAAAGUCUGGUUUAUACAUUUCACCUUAGCAUGCAUGUCAAGACUCGAACCCUCAAUCUGAUCUGAUGGUUAUCAUAUGUCGAGGUCAAAUGUCUUUGGCUUUGGUUAAGAUUAACAUUUUCUAUAUAUCUAUGAUUAUUUGUUAUUAAUUUU